rnacentral:rRNA from 1 species
ACUCCUACGGGAGGCAGCAGUGGGGAAUAUUGCGCAAUGGGGGAAACCCUGACGCAGCAACGCCGCGUGGGUGAUGAAGGUUUUCGGAUCGUAAGACCCUGUUUUCUGGGACGAUAAUGACGGUACCAGAGGAGGAAGCCCCGGCUAACUACGUGCCAGCAGCCGCGGUAAU